GGGAAUUGAACUCGGAACCUUGGGCUUGUAAGCCAGGCGGCGGCACCACUGAGACAAAUCAUCCCGGACCCAAUCUUUAAUUUUUUUGAGGAGCCGCCGUACGGCUUUCUCAGGGGCCGCCUGCAGCCCCGGGACGGCAGAGGCAGGAGGAUCUUUAUACACUGAGCUCAGGCGGCCUCGGCAAGGUCCCCGCCCCGUCCCAGCGACCACGGUCGCUUCCUGUCCCGUCCGGAGCUGCAGGCCCCAGGCCCAGGUGUGGGAGGCACCGGCUCCUCCAGGCCUGGCUCCCGGGCUCCUGGGUCCUCACACACAUGUCCCUCUGUGUGGUCCGCGUCCUCCCGGCCUCCUCUCAGAGGGACCCAGGCCUGUGGGGUUGGGGCCACCACGGGGACUCAGUUUACCUCCACGGCUCUUUAAGACUCGGUUUUCACACACAGCCGCAGCCUGAGGUCCCGGGGUCAGAGAGUCGGUCGACAGCCUCAGUGUGCAGCCUGAGCCGCCGGCUGGUGGGGACACCCGUGUCCCUGGUGCAGUGGGGGACACAGAAUGCCGUCCCCUCGACGUUCACCUCCACCUCCGCCGCCUCGACGGUCCCCGUGUCACCCCGAGUGUCCCCGCCCACCCCCUCCAUUUGGAGCCGGGGUCUCACUGGCGGCUCCGACACCGUCCUGCCCUGCUGCCGCCCGCCGGCCCGGCCUCUCCUGGCUGCUAUCACGGCGUCGGAUCAGCCACGACGGCUUCCUGCCCGCGGAUCACUUCCCCGUCUCCUCUCCGGGCCUCACACGGGGGCGAGGAACCCAGCUGUCGGGAGGAGCCAGGCGGCGGGGACAUGGGGACCCGAGUGUGGGCCUGGGUGGCCGCGCUGCUGCUGCUGCUGCUGCUACAGGGGCACCCGACGGACAUGGGGGACGAGGGAGCCGGAAGGUCGAAUGCUGCGAUUUGUACCCUCAGUUUGCCCCGUCGGGGAGCCCCGGACAGAAAUAAGACAGAACCGAGGGCCAUGUCUGCUCCAGGCUCCUAGCCAGCAGCAAAACCCCGGCAGUGCUGUGCCGAUGGGAGCGCACGAGGGCUUCUGUACCGUCCCCACCGAGCAGACCCGAGGCCCCAGAGCCCACCACGGCCCCUCAGCCACUUCCUGCCCUCCUGUUCCCCG
rnacentral:lncRNA from 1 species